UCGCGGUCCUCUCUCUCUCUCUCUCUCUCCAAGCCCAAACCUUCGAACAAUUCAUUCGACUAGCACGGCUUCUCUGCUGCCAUCUCUUCCUGUGACUUCGAAGACAGCUGACCACAAGACUGCUCCUUCAGUCAAAGAAAGCGAGUGACUUCUCUCUCUCUCUCUCUUUCUCUUUAUGUUUGGUUCCUGAGAAAACGGAGCGAGAAAGUGGAAGUUUUAACAAAUAUUUUUGUUUUAUACUAAGUUGGGUGCAGGGUUUUCGUUUUCUCAGAUUCGCAUUUUGUGGAAAAAUGCAUUUGAGUUUUGAGUUUCUUUCUUAUAUCUCUACUUGUUUGUAGCGAAAUGGAGCCCUAGUGUUAGUCAUCAGUUCUUAUUUGGUUACCGUACAAUAAGUCACUUGAUUUUCUUUUUCCUUCUAAUUUACUCGAUUCCUUGGCCACGUUUUUUGUAUAAUGAAGACAUUUUGUCUCUAAAUCCCAAUAUUGUGUUGUGCGAGUUUAUAAAUCAGAAGUUGCAGAUCCUCCUGCUGAGAAAAGUUUGGGAGGUUUGGUUGACAAAGGUAAAUACCUCAUUUUUUUGAUUUAAUGAUAUUUUUUUACUUUUAUUGAUUUGGGUCUAUUUUGAUGAUAAUGUUUAAAUGAAUGAAUAUUUGAGGAAUAUAUUUGUGGGUUAGAUCUGGAUUUAUAGAAUAUUUGAGGAGUAGUUUUAUAGGUUAGAUUUGGGUUUAUAGAAUCUUUGAGGAGUAUAUAUAUAUAUAUGUUUUCUGGAAUAUGGAUCCAUGGGUUUGGUAGUUUGCUUUGCAGGGGUGUAUAGAGAAUGCACCCUCAUGUAUGUAGUAUGUGUAUAGGCUCUUUGUUUCUUUUACUUGCAUUGUUGUAUCUGUCUUUGUGGUUAUUUUUAUUUCUUGGUGUGGAUUGGCCGUUUCUGGAGCAAAUUAUACUUACCCACAAGAGAUAUUGGUGACAUUCAGUGUUUGUUUAGAUAGAUGUUGUGUGCUUGCUUCUCAUUCUCUGUGCCCAGACUGUAGAUGGGGCUUAUAUAAUAGUUUUGAAAAGUUAAGCAUAGAAAGGAAAGAGAGAGAGGUUAGUUUUUGAAUUUUUACUGAUGUUCUGAGGUCUGGAGUGGUGGAAUCAAGAGCUUUUCUAAAGAAAUCCUCCUUCUGCUUUUGGUGAGGUCUGCGUAAUCUGAGAAAUAUCUGCAAUCCACAACAAUGAAAGUAUAAGAAAUGAGAGUGAGAAGGACUGAUGCAGAAUAGUAGAUGUCCCAACGUAUGCUCCCUAAUAACUUAAGGGACCGGGUCAAACGAUAUGAAUAAUACAAAUGGCAGGAAACCAGAGGGGUCAGACGAUAUGAACAAUACAGUCCUACCAUUAGAUAUGUAAUUUUCAUAUAUUAUAAUUUUGUGUUUUGUAAUAUAAUGUAUAAAUACCAAAUAAUGUAAUAUGUAGGGAAUUGUAUUAUGUGUUGCAUGCAUUUUACAUGAUAAAUAUCGGUUUUUUUUAAUGCAUGGUAAUUCGUUGUUUCUAA